rnacentral:ncRNA from 1 species
AAAAAUGCGAUGAACAGGAAAAUCUGCACCUCACCCCUCCGUCAGAGAGAGCCGGUCGUCGGCUGCAAGCCGGCUCGGGAAGUGCCGCAGUGUUCGCCUGGGAGCUGCCGCGAGGAAAUGCGCGGACGGGUCGUCCUCCGUUAACGGGAAACGAGUGCGCAGGCUGUGCCUGCGAAGCCGGGUGGUACCACGGAAGUUCGCCUUUCGUCCCUGUA